UACGUAGGGGGCAAGCGUUGUCCGGAAUCAUUGGGCGUAAAGAGCGUGUAGGCGGCCUGAAAGGUCAGCUGUGAAAACUCGAGGCUCAACCUCGAGACGUCGGUUGAAACCAUCUGGCUAGAGUCCGGAAGAGGAGUGUGGAAUUCCCGGUGUAGCGGUGAAAUGCGCAGAUAUCGGGAAGAACACCCGUGGCGAAGGCGGCACUCUGGGACGGUACUGACGCUGAGACGCGAAAGCGUGGGGAGCAAACAGG
rnacentral:rRNA from 1 species